ensembl:snoRNA
UUCCCAAAAGCUGCUUAUUUGGGGAAGGUUUUUUAAUUAGCCUUUUCUCAAUUAAAAGCUAUCUGGGAGAGAAAAGACCACACUCCACAGUGAACUACAUUGUUGUAGUCCAUUACUUACUUUGUGGCCAACAGU